UGCCAGUCCUCCCGCGCGAGAACACAGUCAGCCUGUUUGGAGCGUGACGUUGUUACGUUGUGCGUCUGGUGUAGCCACUCUGUUAAAGUGCUCAUUCCAGCAAUUUGUCACGGACUCGAAGCUUUCCAACUGAUGAAGCACAGAGAAGAAAAUUGACCCAAGCCAAAGGACCAAAUUUUGUUCUAUGUUGUGACAGAGUGCAUAUGUGUAACCAGCACAUAAAAUCUAUGCAGUGCCUUAAGACUAAUGCUGUACCGAGUCAUUUUAACUGGGACAACUUUUAAUGCCUUACUGACAAGGCAAUUGGCUUUUGAAUGGUAAACAUCUCAUCACUGAUGUGUAAGAGUCUGCACUGAUGGAAAACGGCACACUGGGUGUCUUCUCAAUGGAAUACAUCUGUGUUAUGACACCUGGUCCUGGUGCAUAAUGGGCUGGGUUGAUUUAACAACAGGCAAGCAUGUUAAGUAUGGGCACACAUCUUUAGGUCUUUGCCAGGUAAAUCCCACAUCUUCACUUUGGCAAGAAAUAAUGCCACUGAAACAAAUGCUUAUUUUCGCAUGCUGUAAAUUCAUAUCUUGAGUCCUGGAAAGCUUGAAUAAGAUGAAUACAUUUUUUCACAAGAAGUUCAGUGCCAUAAUGAAGAAAUGAGGAGAAAACUCAAAUUUAGGAGAUUCAAGGUUUAUUCUUUUGUUUCUUUCUAUGUUGACUUUCUGUUUUUAUUCUAUUACUUAAACCAUAAGUCCUAUAUACUUAUGUUUUAUAUUUGAUUUCCCAGAUGGCUUCAUAAAAUUAAUGUUUUAUUUUAUCAUCCUCCUCACGAAGGCGUUCUUGCUUUGUUAUAUCUGCAAGUUCGUAAGAGAGGGAGGUACAAUAAAUUGGGUGGUUUUGAGGUAUUGAUGUGGUAAACAUCAAAUGAUCAAAACCAUUCAAACAUUUCAUUUUUUUGUUUUGUAACCCUUGGAUCAGUCUGAGUCAGCUACUGUCAAAGUUAGACUUAAAUACAUUCUUACAUAUAUACUGUGAGUCACAAUUUGCUGUAAUAAACUGUCAUUACUGAAAAGCUG